GAUGAACGCUAGCUACAGGCUUAACACAUGCAAGUCGAGGGGCAGCAUGACGAUAGCUUGCUAUUGUUGAUGGCGACCGGCGCACGGGUGAGUAACGCGUAUCCAACCUGCCCUUGUCCAUCGGAUAACCCGUCGAAAGGCGGCCUAACACGAUAUGCAGUUCUCAGCAGGCAUCUAACGAGAACGAAAUGUAAAGGAGAAGGAUGGGGAUGCGUCUGAUUAGCUUGUUGGCGGGGUAACGGCCCACCAAGGCGACGAUCAGUAGGGGUUCUGAGAGGAAGGUCCCCCACAUUGGAACUGAGACACGGUCCAAACUCCUACGGGAGGCAGCAGUGAGGAAUAUUGGUCAAUGGGCGAGAGCCUGAACCAGCCAAGUAGCGUGCAGGAUGACGGCCCUAUGGGUUGUAAACUGCUUUUAUGCGGGGAUAAAGUGAGCCACGUGUGGCUUAUUGCAGGUACCGCAUGAAUAAGGACCGGCUAAUUCCGUGCCAGCAGCCGCUGUAA
rnacentral:rRNA from 1 species